rnacentral:pre_miRNA from 1 species
AAUAAAUGUAGUUUUAUGUUGUUCAUAUUCAACGUUUGACUGUUCGUCUUAUUUUUAAAAUAUUUAUGAUUAGUAUUUUUAUUGUUGUUACUCUUAGAUGAUAAAACAUGAAUUGUAUUUUAUGUGUGACUAUUUUUAUUUAUUUAUUUAUUUAUUUAUUUAUUUAUUUAUUUAGAUAAGACGAACGAUCAAAUAUUGAACACGAAUACCACGGCUGCACUUAUU